GCCGAAGUGGUGGAAUGGUAUACACGCACGCCUUAAGAGCGUGUCCCUAAAGGAUGCGGGUCCGAGUCCCGCCUUCGGCA
rnacentral:tRNA from 1 species